rnacentral:rRNA from 1 species
GCUCGAGUGGCGAACGGGUGAGUAACACGUGGGUGAUCUGCCCCUUACUUUGGGAUAAGCCUGGGAAACUGGGUCUAAUACUGGAUAGGACCAUGCUGUAGGUGGUGUGGUGGAAAGAUUUUUUCGGUAAGGGAUGAGCUCGCGGCCUAUCAGCUUGUUGGUGGGGUAAUGGCCUACCAAGGCGUCGACGGGUAGCCGGCCUGAGAGGGUGGACGGCCACAUUGGGACUGAGAUACGGCCCAGACUCCUACGGGAGGCAGCAGUGGGGAAUAUUGCACAAUGGGCGCAAGCCUGAUGCAGCGACGCCGCGUGGGGGAUGACGGCCUUCGGGUUGUAAACUCCUUUCAGCCAUGACGAAGCCCUUGUGGGGUGACGGUAGUGGUAGAAGAAGCACCGGCUAACUACGUGCCAGCAGCCGCGGUAAUACGUAGGGUGCGAGCGUUGUCCGGAAUUACUGGGCGUAAAGAGCUCGUAGGUGGUCUGUCGCGUCAUUUGUGAAAGCCCGGGGGCUUAACUCCGGGUUGGCAGGUGAUACGGGCAUGACUGGAGUACUGUAGGGGAGACUGGAAUUCCUGGUGUAGCGGUGAAAUGCGCAGAUAUCAGGAGGAACACCGGUGGCGAAGGCGGGUCUCUGGGCAGUAACUGACGCUGAG